rnacentral:rRNA from 1 species
UACGUAGGGUGCAAGCGUUAAUCGGAAUUACUGGGCGUAAAGCGUGCGCAGGCGGUGAUGUAAGACAGAUGUGAAAUCCCCGGGCUCAACCUGGGAACUGCAUUUGCGACUGCAUCGCUGGAGUGCGGCAGAGGGGGAUGGAAUUCCGCGUGUAGCAGUGAAAUGCGUAGAUAUGCGGAGGAACACCGAUGGCGAAGGCAGCUCGCUGGGACGGUACUGACGCUGAGACGCGAAAGCGUGGGGAGCAAACAGG